rnacentral:rRNA from 1 species
AUACGUCGGUCGUGCUUUCGGGUACGUACUGGCGUCAUUGGUUUCUCCUUUCUGACGAACCAUGAUGUCAUUAAUUUGGUGUUAUGGGGAGUUAGGACUGUUACUUUGAAAAAAUUAGAGUGUUUAAAGCAGGCAUUAGCUUGAAUACAUUAGCAUGGAAUAAUGAAAUAGGACGUUCGAUCCUAUUUUGUUGGUUUCUAGGAUCAACGUA